rnacentral:rRNA from 1 species
UACAGAGGGUGCAAGCGUUAAUCGGAAUUACUGGGCGUAAAGCGAGCGUAGUCGGUUAUUUAAGUCGGAUGUGAAAUCCCCGGGCUCAACCUGGGAAUUGCAUUCGAUACGGGCUAGCUAGAGUGUGGUAGGGGAGAUCGGAAUUCCUGGUGUAGCGGUGAAAUGCGCAGAUAUCAGGAGGAACACCAAUAGCGAAGGCAGCUCGCUGGGACGGUACUGACGCUGAGACGCGAAAGCGUGGGGAGCAAACAGG